rnacentral:rRNA from 1 species
GAUGGACCUGCGUUGUAUUAGCUAGUUGGUGAGGUAACGGCUCACCAAGGCGACGAUACAUAGCCGACCUGAGAGGGUGAUCGGCCACACUGGGACUGAGACACGGCCCAGACUCCUACGGGAGGCAGCAGUAGGGAAUCUUCGGCAAUGGGGGGAACCCUGACCGAGCAACGCCGCGUGAGUGAAGAAGGUUUUCGGAUCGUAAAGCUCUGUUGUAAGAGAAGAACGGGUGUGAGAGUGGAAAGUUCACACUGUGACGGUAUCUUACCAGAAAGGGACGGCUAACUACGUGCCAGCAGCCGCGGUAAUACGUAGGUCCCGAGCGUUGUCCGGAUUUAUUGGGCGUAAAGCGAGCGCAGGCGGUUAGAUAAGUCUGAAGUUAAAGGCUGUGGCUUAACCAUAGUAUGCUUUGGAAACUGUUUAACUUGAGUGCAGAAGGGGAGAGUGGAAUUCCAUGUGUAGCGGUGAAAUGCGUAGAUAUAUGGAGGAACACCGGUGGCGAAAGCGGCUCUCUGGUCUGUAACUGACGCUGAGGCUCGAAAGCGUGGGGAGCAAACAGGAUUAGAUACCCUGGUAGUCCACGCCGUAAACGAUGAGUGCUAGGUGUUAGGCCCUUUCCGGGGCUUAGUGCCGCAGCUAACGCAUUAAGCACUCCGCCUGGGGAGUACGACCGCAAGGUUGAAACUCAAAGGAAUUGACGGGGGCCCGCACAAGCGGUGGAGCAUGUGGAUUUAAUUCGAAGCAACGCGAAGAA